rnacentral:rRNA from 1 species
AAAUUGAAGAGUUUGAUCAUGGCUCAGAUUGAACGCUGGCGGCAGGCCUAACACAUGCAAGUCGAACGGUAACAGGAAGCAGCUUGCUGCUUCGCUGACGAGUGGCGGACGGGUGAGUAAUGUCUGGGAAACUGCCUGAUGGAGGGGGAUAACUACUGGAAACGGUGGCUAAUACCGCAUAACGUCGCAAGACCAAAGAGGGGGACCUUCGGGCCUCUUGCCAUCAGAUGUGCCCAGAUGGGAUUAGCUUGUUGGUGAGGUAACGGCUCACCAAGGCGACGAUCCCUAGCUGGUCUGAGAGGAUGACCAGCCACACUGGAACUGAGACACGGUCCAGACUCCUACGGGAGGCAGCAGUGGGGAAUAUUGCACAAUGGGCGCAAGCCUGAUGCAGCCAUGCCGCGUGUAUGAAGAAGGCCUUCGGGUUGUAAAGUACUUUCAGCGGGGAGGAAGGUGUUGUGGUUAAUAACCGCAGCAAUUGACGUUACCCGCAGAAGAAGCACCGGCUAACUCCGUGCCAGCAGCCGCGGUAAUACGGAGGGUGCAAGCGUUAAUCGGAAUUACUGGGCGUAAAGCGCACGCAGGCGGUCUGUCAAGUCGGAUGUGAAAUCCCCGGGCUCAACCUGGGAACUGCAUUCGAAACUGGCAGGCUUGAGUCUUGUAGAGGGGGGUAGAAUUCCAGGUGUAGCGGUGAAAUGCGUAGAGAUCUGGAGGAAUACCGGUGGCGAAGGCGGCCCCCUGGACAAAGACUGACGCUCAGGUGCGAAAGCGUGGGGAGCAAACAGGAUUAGAUACCCUGGUAGUCCACGCCGUAAACGAUGUCUACUUGGAGGUUGUGCCCUUGAGGCGUGGCUUCCGGAGCUAACGCGUUAAGUAGACCGCCUGGGGAGUACGGCCGCAAGGUUAAAACUCAAAUGAAUUGACGGGGGCCCGCACAAGCGGUGGAGCAUGUGGUUUAAUUCGAUGCAACGCGAAGAACCUUACCUGGUCUUGACAUCCACAGAAGAAUCCAGAGAUGGAUUUGUGCCUUCGGGAACUGUGAGACAGGUGCUGCAUGGCUGUCGUCAGCUCGUGUUGUGAAAUGUUGGGUUAAGUCCCGCAACGAGCGCAACCCUUAUCCUUUGUUGCCAGCGAUUAGGUCGGGAACUCAAAGGAGACUGCCAGUGAUAAACUG